CAGGCACACGCAUGCACUCGCACACACACACGCACCCGCCCGCUCGGCUCCGCUUCCGAGCUGCCUCAGCAAGGAGGAGCCCGGACGGAAAACACCAGGGCAGCAAGGAUUUGGAAGCAGACUUCCUGGAGAAGGACCCUGGCAAUGAGUGCAGGUUUCCCUGAAAGCUGAGGCUGUUUCUUAUUCCCUAGGAGACUGAGAAGAGAGGGGGCCCCGGAUGUCAGCCCAAUCUCCGUUUUUUAUUUGUCUCGACUUUGAGGCAGAUUUCCUCUUUCAGCUCUGGGAACUGACAGACUGGCUUAAGUGUCCUCCAGUCACUUAGUGAAGACCUGUGUUUUCCAGCCUUGAUGUUACACAGUACGUCAGUCCAUUCAGCUUCUCUCCAAGAUGGUAACUACUUUCUGUUCCACAUCUCUUACACGAGAUCUUUGGAUUACUUAAAAAAGUAAGCUGCGUCCUGUAUAUUUCCUUUUAAAACUUCUCUUUAGGAAAAAAAUCAACUUAUUGUGGGUACAUCAGUGAUAUCAAACUCACUUCUCUUUUGUCUGACUGCUCUCUCCAUCUUCUGUCAGUCUAAAAAGUGUAAUUUUUUAAAGGAUUGAAGGAGUUAUAUUAAUAUUUGUGUGAACCAUUUUUCCUGCUCAUUGUCUGUUCUUUUCUCCUUCCCCUUGGUGUCUGGUUCAUCUUGACUGCUUUUAAAAAUUCUGUUGCCUCUAGUGAGGGACUGCCAGAUUAAACCAGUGAAGAGAACCAGGUGACUGUCUACUUUUAUGAAUAUAGGUUGUGUAUAAUAAAUUCAGGUUUUACAUCUAUGCAAAUUAAAUCAUCAUAUGAUUCUGACUACAUGCAUUUUUUAUCAAAUAUGGCAUAUAUUUCACGAAUUAUAUUUAACUUGUAGUCAUGUUGCAAUUUUAAAUACCUAACUAGGCGUUACAAGGUGUGCCACUAGGUCUUGGUAAAUAGGUUUACAAACACAGAAGAAAGAGAAGAAAUUUACCUUUUUUCUUGUAUUCUUGGUAAGUUCAGUGAAAAAGUUUUUCCUGCUAUAGGUGAUAAUAUUAAACAUCUCACAUACUGUUUGUCUUUAGAGACAAAAAUACAUUUUGUUACUAGAAAUGUAGAGAUUUUGUAGGGGCCUAAACAGAACAUGACCAGAAUGAGGAAGUUUUAAAGCAACAUGUCUUUGGUCUGGAGUUUACAACAUCUAGUUAGUAGGGCUUUUUGCUAAUGUUUCUAUCAUGGAGUGGAAGUCAAAUGUCAAAAUAAAUUUUUUACUUCCGCAAAAUUAUAUAUUCACCUUGGGAAUAUUGUGAAGUGAAAAUAAGAUUUAGCAAAAUUCUUUCUGUGGGAUUUAUCGACAGACAGGGCAGUUUUAGUGUCAAGCCCUAAGCCUUGCAAUAUGAUUCCCAGCCGUAGGUGCACCAUACUUUGAAUAAUCAGUCUGUCAGCUGAGCUAU